UACGUAGGGUGCAAGCGUUGUCCGGAAUUAUUGGGCGUAAAGAGCUCGUAGGCGGUUUGUCGCGUCUGCUGUGAAAACCCGAGGCUCAACCUCGGGCCUGCAGUGGGUACGGGCAGACUAGAGUUCGGCAGGGGAGACUGGAAUUCCUGGUGUAGCGGUGAAAUGCGCAGAUAUCAGGAGGGAACACCCGGUGGGCCGAAAGGGCGGGG
rnacentral:rRNA from 1 species